rnacentral:ncRNA from 1 species
UGGGCUGGUCGAAAGACCCGGGUCCAUCAGCGGAUGGGGGGGUUCUGC